GAGCUCUGUAGGAAGAGGUGUUAACAGUAAGAAGAAAGGAGGAGAAGCACAUCCCAGCUAGAGAUCUUAGACUUCAGAAGGUCAGGGAUGUUGGAAGGCUGGACGACCAGGGAUCCUCUGAUCUUUAGUCUGACUGGAACCAGAGGUGUUCCUGAUUUUUAUGAUUCGAUCAUUUUUGUAGCUCAGAAGAUUGGUUUUUAUGAUUGCACAACAUUCAGUGUUUGGGUUUUGUCAUGGGACAUGGAGAGCCACCCACCCUAAUUGCCAUGAUCCUUCUUAGGACUUUGCCAUGACAACUUGUCAGAGGUUGGAGAUCUUUGCUCCUCAACUUCAAUCUCAUUACCCUUUCUCUAGCCUCUGACAUCCUUACCCUGUGCAUUGAUUCGACAAUGCCCUUCACAGAGUGCCAAGUAUAGCCCUUUAUUCUGCUUUUGAAAUCAGUUUAUUUUGUUACCUAAAAAAGGGAAAAAUUUAUCAACAUCUGUGGAUAGUAGUCUUUCCUGUGUUUUUAGGGAGAUGAACAGGCAGGGCUGAGCACUGGAGGUUUUACAGGAAUAAUAAAGUAGGGGGGGAUAAAAGUCUAUUUCCACUUAGUAGAGAAGGUGCCUCCUAAGUGCCAUGGAGGCUGGUCAUUCAGCCCCAACCUGUUUUAGGUUCAAAUCUCAUCAUGGCUGACAUUAGUUCUACUAUCUGUCAGGAAUUUUUUUUUAAUUAAGAGGAGGGUCUUGCUCUAUUGCCCAGGGUCCAGGAUGAGUGCAGCGGCAUGAUCACAGCUCACUGCAGUCUCAACCUCCUGGGUUCAAGCAAUCCUCCCACCUCAGCCUUCCAAGUAGCUGGAACCACAGUCACAUACCAUCACGCCCUGCUCUUUUUAUUUGUAGAGACAGAGUCUUUCCAUGUUGCCCAGGCCUGUCUCAAACAGGCCUGGGCUCAAGCGAUUCUCCCACGUUGGUCUCCCAAAGUGCUGGGAUUAUAAGUGUGAACCACCGCACCUGGCCUGCCAGUGCUUUUUGAAGACACAGAUAUGAAGGCAUAUUGACCAUCCUGAAUUUAUUCCACUAGCAACAGUUACACACUUAAAUAAAUGAACAUUCUGGCUGGGUGAGGUAGCUCACACCUGUAAUCCCAGCACUUUAGGAGGCUGAGGAAGGUGGAUCACUUGAAGUCAGGAGUUUGAGACCAGCCUGGCCAACGUGGUGAAACCCCACCUUUACUAAAAAUACAAAAAUUAGCUAGGUGUGGUGGCACACGCCUGUAAUCCCAGCUAUUCAGGAGGCGGAGGCAGGAGAAUUGCUUGAACCCGGGAGGCAGAGGUUGCAGUGAGCCGAGAUUGUGCCAUUGCACUCCAGCCUGGGUGACAGAGUGAGACUCUGUCUCAAAAAAAUAAUAAAUAAAUAAAUAAAUAAAUAUUCCCACUUGGAAUGAUUCAUUUGGUUGGAAGAUGUUCACCUGCAAAUAGGGAGGGCUACCUCCCUGUCCUAAAAAAUGAAAGGUAUCAUUGAGUUUUGUGUUAAAAACUCCAGGAUACCAUAUGCAUCCUGCCUCCCUUCCUCUCUCUCUUCUAUGGUGACAGGCUCUGCCUUUUCCCGUGGUACCCUAGAAACUGCGACUGCAAUGACAAUAUGGAGAGCAGGGACAGAAAGCAAGGGGAUAGGGUCUCCCUCUGUCUCCCAGGCUGGAGUGCAAUGGUGGGAUCUUGGCUCACUGCAGCUUUGAACUCCUGGGCUCAAGCGAUCCUCUUACCUCAACUUCCUGAGUAGCUGGGACUACAGGGCUUCUUCGCUGGAAUGAGGAAGAGGAGGAAGCCAAGGAAGACAGAGACUGUGGCGUCAGUGCGGUAGCCUUUCCUAGUAAAGAGACAAGCAUAGCUGAGGAGAAGGGUCAGGAAUUUUCAGGAGUAACAUGGUGUCUUGGAGCAGUCUGUCCAAACACAAUGCCUCUUUUUAGGACUUAUCUAGAGGUGACAUUAACCUUAGUUCUUGCCAGUUGCUGCCAUGCUAUCCACUUUGGAUUUAAUGGGCAAUGGUGAAUGUCUGGAGGCAGGGCCUGGCUAGAGUAGAUGUCUUAGUGUGAAUUUGUGAGCCCGUUAAUUGGGGCAAGUCCUAGAUGGAGUGAUCAGGAGUGGAGUUGGUUAGAUAAAGGAGAAUAGAAGAGGAUGAGACCUCUUUCCUAUGAAGGCCACACCUCCAUGUGCCUCCCUUCUCAAGUGAGAAGUUGGUUUCUUCUUUACAGUUGGUACUUUACUGAUGUUUCCUCCUUUAACUUUCAUAACCACCUAUGAGGUAACCAAGCUUCCAAGAGCUUAUGUAAUGAGACUACAUGCAGCACUGGAUCCCAACCCCAGACCGGGACUCCAAAGAGUGUUUUUCCUUCCUGAUUUCACACUGCAGCCUCCCUAAAAAGAGUGGAUUUCCCGGGGAAUGAAAUCUUCCUGGCUUCAUAUCUGCCCCUGAGAGAGUCUGUGAAGUCUUGCCUGAAGAAUUGGGGUGAGGGGGUUAUUCUUAAGGAGGAAAUGAUAUCCCUUACUUUUCAAAGAAAGAAUCCCAGCCAGGGACAAAGCCAGGCUCCCGGGUAAACCACAGUACGGUCAUCAGGAUGAAGAAAAAUCCAGUCACCAUUUCAGGAUAGCUAUAAAAUAAAACAGAAAGACCCACUCAGGAACUUAGAAAUUUCUCCUAGCUUUUUCACUUUGCUUCUGGAAGCUUCUGUAUUUAGAGUUUCAAUACACUAGACAUAAAACACACUCACUGCCUAACCACUAUGAAUGGCUGACAGUGAGAUGAGGAGAAGACUGAGUGGCCCCAGAAAACAUGACAUUAACCAUGUUCCUAGAGAAACUUCGGUGGAAAGGGCAAGAAAAUACAGCACUGUACAUUUGUAAAGUAAUUUCAAAUACAGCCUACAAGGAGAGUGCAGUGAAAUAGGCAGCCCCAAACACUGUGCUGGUGGGAGGAGGAACUGCUACAACCUUUUUGAGGCCAUUUGAUGAUACACAUCAGAAGCCUUAAAGUUGGUCAUUCCCUGGCCGGGUGUGGUGGCCCGCGCUCGUAAUCCCAGCACUUUGGGAGGCCGAGGUGGGCGGAUCACGAGGUCAGGAGAUGGAGACCAUCCUGGCUAACAUAGUGAAACCCCAUCUCUACUAAAAAUGCAAAAAAUUAGCUGGGUGUGGUGGCACGUGCCUGUAGUCCCAGUUACUUGGGAGGCUGAGGCAGGAGAAUCGCUUGAACCUGGGAGGUGGAGGUUGCAGUGAGCCAAGAUUGUGCCACUGCACUCUAGACUGGGCAACAGGGCGAGACUCCAUCCCCCAAAAAAACAAAAACGUAACAACAAAAAAAAAGUUGGUCAUUCCCAUCAUCUAACCAGAAAUGCAUACUGAGACAUUAAUUACCUAUUAAAAAAUGGAAGCAUCCUCUAUAUCCAAUGAUAUUUCAUGACACUGAAUACAUUUUGAUACAACUCUAUGUUAAAAUGAGAUGCAUCCACUGAUAAUCCCAUUUCCACAGCAGAGUUAAGGAUGUGGAACAUGCUGUACUGAGAGUACAAUGUUGAGUUGAGAAAGGCAAGGUAUACAACAGUUUCAGUGUGGACUGAAUUUUACCAAAAAUACAUAGGAGUUUUGCACAAAAAAGCAUGGAAAGAAGUGUUAACAUUUGUUAACAUGGGGUGCUAAGAAUCCAGUCAAUUUUAAUUUUUUUCUUAUACUGUCUUGUAUUUUUGAAAUGUUCUACAAUGAACAUGUAUUCCUUUUAUAACUUAAAGCUUUAAAUAAGACAGUGUCUACCUGGAUUGUUUUAUGCAAAGUUGUAUGUGCCAAUUGCCAUAAAAGGAGAAAUAGCACUAAAUAGGAAGCUGGGUCCCUGUGGAAAAGCUGAUAGAAGUGGCUGAGGGUUGGUUAGUGAUUUCUUGGAUGCUCUCUCUCCAAGUCUGUCUUUGAUACUGCCUUAUACCCUAAAUAUAGCACAGCGUCUCCCAUCUCCCUGGGAGUGAUAACUGGACCACUGUGGUGGUACGUCUGAGCAAUGAGAGGUGGCCUGGCUUUGGAAGGAAUUCACAUUUUCCAAGAGGGUGGCUGUGCUGUCUUUCCCUUCUUCUGCCUCUGUCUGCCCCAUGGUCAGCACUCCACCCCAUGCCAUGGCUAUACCUUGGACUCCGAAUAGAGCAAAGGGGAAGGGUGGCCACCUGAAAUCUGGGCCAGCUUGGCUUUGGCAUUAAAUGGCAUCUUAUAAAGGCCUGAUUCAGAGUUGUGGAAAAUUCUCCCAGUGUCAGGGAUUGUCAAGAACAAGGCUGCUCCUGUGCUCACUUUACCUGCUGUGUUUCUGCUGGAGGAGGAGAGAAGAGGAAUGGCUGAUUUUUACCUAAUGUCUCCCAGCUUUUCAUAUUCUUCUUGGAUCCUCUUCUCUGACAACUGUUCCCUUUUGGUCUUCUUCUUCUUGCUCAGAGAGCAGGUCUCUUUAAAACUGAGAAGGGAGAAUGAGCAAAUGAUUAAAGAAAACACACUUCUGAGGCCCAGAGAUCAAAUAUUAGGUAAAUACUAAACCACUUGCCUGCUGUGGUCACUUUUCUCCUCUUUCACAUGCCCUAUCCCUCUAUCCCCCACCUAUUCAUAUGGCUUUUAUCUGCCACGUUAUCCAGCCUCUCAUCAACCUUCUCCCCUAGCCUACUGGGAAUAUCCAUCUGGGUCUGUCUCUGGUAUAUUGGUGUGAAGUGAUGUCUCAGGGACUUGUGCAAGUGUAUUCGUGUGGGGUCAUUUCUACCUACUUGUCUUUUUACAUAAGUAAAAUAAUCAGUGUAAUGUGGUACAUGUGUCUAGAUGUAUAAACUAAAACUUUUAUUCCACUGUGUGUCUAGAUGUUAUAACUAACAUUUUUACUCCAGAGAAGCUUUGUCUCUAGCCAAACAAACACACAAACAUCUGCAUAUAUGGAACACACAGUGUUAGUUUUAUAUUAGCAAUACUGGAGAAGAAGUAUAUAAUUAUCAUUGGUUUGACAACAGUCUGAGUAAAAAGAAAAGUCAGAGAACAUUUCUUGACCAAUGGGAGCAUUGGGUUAUAUGGACUAAUAGCAAAACAUUAUAUUAUCUUCCCUUAUGUGUUUGAAACUGAUCAAAUUUGGAGUAGACUGACUUGUUAUUUUGAGGCAUAUGAGCAUAUUUUAUUCAGGCUACUAAGUAUAAAUCACCCAUGCCUAUAAAGUUAAACCUCAUGCAAA